rnacentral:lncRNA from 1 species
AAGUGACAGAGACAGAGAUGGAAAAGGACAGGCUUCAUCAUCGAGAGGCGGAGGAACUAAAAAGAUCGGUCGGCCUGCACUGUCAAAUAACGCCAAGGGUGAACGGAAAUCGAAAACAAAACCUAGGCUGAAAACAACUCCUAUGUUUUCUUCUCCUUCUGUCAGUAUCCUGGAGCAAAACAGAACAUCAUCGUCCAAACCAACUGAUAGCAACAACAGCGAGUAUAGUAACUUGGAGACACUGGACGAGACAGAGCCACUUGACCUAUCUGGCCUGCAGAUACCAGACGGUUUAGGUGGUCCAGAUGAUUUCGAUGCACAAGCAGGAGAUCUAAGCUCAUGGUUGAACAUCGAUGACGAUGCCUUACAAGAUAAUGAUAUAGAUCUCCUUGGACUUCAAAUACCCAUGGAUGAUCUUUCAGACUUAAAGAUGAUGGUAUAAGCUCCCACCCUCACUGUCUUUAUUACUGUACAGCCUCCUCUGUUAUACCAUUAGCGACAAAGAAAGAUAAGUAAAAAGGAAAAACAAGUUUUGGUCCCCAGAAAGAAUAACCACUCACCACUCACCAGUCACCAUCAUCAUGUUUAGGGGUUCUCUUUCUUUCUGUUUCUUAUAGGUUGAUUACUAGGGAUGGUGGUGAGACUUUUUUUGUUUAUUGGUGAUGGGUGGUGUAUUUGGCUCCGGCGAUUAAGAUAGGUCGGUAGUUAAACGCAAGAUAAGAAAGAGUGAUAGUAAUGUUGUGUAGUGAUAUUUUAUCAGCUUCAAGUAUGAUUUUUUUAUUUUUUUUUGCCUUACCGAACAGUCUACUAUGAUUUUGAACCCACAAACUCUCUGUUAAUACGAAUAUCUCCUCUUCUUCUUCUUUUUUUUUUUGUCUCUGGCAGCACAGUUGGGAUCACAGCCUAGCUCAUCAUUGGCAUUGCGAAUUAAGCAGAACACGGAGAAUUAUACAGAUUCUUCUGAACAUACUUUACGGGAAGGGAAAGAUGAAACGAUGUGGUUAAAUAGAACGAAGGAGAGAGAGUUGCUACUUGAUGAUGUGUGUGGGACACCACUUUCAAGCAGUACAAAAGGGAAGAGAAGUGACAGAGACAGAGAUGGAAAAGGACAGGCUUCAUCAUCGAGAGGCGGAGGAACUAAAAAGAUCGGUCGGCCUGCACUGUCAAAUAACGCCAAGGGUGAACGGAAAUCGAAAACAAAACCUAGGCUGAAAACAACUCCUAUGUUUUCUUCUCCUUCUGUCAGUAUCCUGGAGCAAAACAGAACAUCAUCGUCCAAACCAACUGAUAGCAACAACAGCGAGUAUAGUAACUUGGAGACACUGGAC